rnacentral:rRNA from 1 species
GAAGGUGGCCUGUGAGGGUUGCUGGAGGUAUCAGAAGUGCGAAUGCUGACAUAAGUAACGAUAAAGCGGGUGAAAAGCCCGCUCGCCGGAAGACCAAGGGUUCCUGUCCAACGUUAAUCGGGGCAGGGUGAGUCGACCCCUAAGGCGAGGCCGAAAGGCGUAGUCGAUGGGAAACAGGUUAAUAUUCCUGUACUUGGUGUUACUGCGAAGGGGGGACGGAGAAGGCUAUGUUGGCCGGGCGACGGUUGUCCCGGUUUAAGCGUGUAGGCUGGUUUUCCAGGCAAAUCCGGAAAAUCAAGGCUGAGGCGUGAUGACGAGGCACUACGGUGCUGAAGCAACAAAUGCCCUGCUUCCAGGAAAAGCCUCUAAGCAUCAGGUAACAUCAAAUCGUACCCCAAACCGACACAGGUGGUCAGGUAGAGAAUACCAAGGCGCUUGAGAGAACUCGGGUGAAGGAACUAGGCAAAAUGGUGCCGUAACUUCGGGAGAAGGCACGCUGACACGUAGGUGAAGUGAUUUACUCAUGGAGCUGAAGUCAGUCGAAGAUACC